AUAGUUAUACUUUGACCUAUGAUCUUUUCACAAACGCAUUCUUUGCAUAUAGGACAAUUUUUGAGGCGUUCUGUUGGCAUCUAGGGGCUAAGUGUGUUGGUGGUAAAUGGUGGUCCCGACUGGACUUGAACCAGCGACCCCUACCA
rfam:Helicobacter bizzozeronii CIII-1 main chromosome, complete genome